CCCGUAAAAAAAAAGUGUUGUAUUCGAAUCACCUGAUUUCACUUCACCUUAAAGCUAAAAUCAAUGAAGAAUGAAUCAAUGGGGUCUCUCCAAGAUUAAGAUGUAUUCGUUACAAGAAUGAACAGUGCCUCGUACAAUUUACAUUGAAUUUUCGACGGAAAACGUUGACCGGACGCCAUGUCACCGUCCUAGGGCUAUAGCAAAGAACACGAACGUACAACUUUUCUUGUAAACAUUUCAUUCUGAAUAAAUUCCAAACCAACUAUACAAUUAAAUGUUAAAGAAACUUUCUGACAAAA